UCUGCAGAGAAAUCCUCUAUGUUGUAAAUUGUACAAGGGUGACCUCCUUCCACCAGAGGCCCGCAGAUUUCCAUCUCUACCUGUGAUUGAGUCGGAUGCGCUCAGCACUGUACCGGUCGGUAGAACGACAAACGGGCGCCGCCCGCAAGGAAGGCCUGACCCGGCAAAGCGAGAAACAGCCGUGUGUUUUCAGUCAUUUUACAGUCAUGGGCGUGCGACUCUCAGUAAUAACGACUCUUCCAGCGGUCUGCCUGGGAGGGAAUGGAUGUGAAUAGGCAAUAUCUGACAAGAAACGCAAGACUCCAAGUCUGAUGAAGCUAUAAAAGAUUUCAGAUAUACAAAAACCUGGCUUUGCCACGUCCGGUUCCUCUUUGCAUUGUUAGUAAACUGCAAACAACUGCA